GAACUUUUCAAGGAAGGUCCUUCAGAGACCUCCCUCACUUCUUCAUUGGCUGCAAGUGAUCCAUUGGGAAAAGCAGACUAAAUCAACGUCUAGAAAACUCAUUCGUGAAGUUUGGUGAAAUUACAAGGAAUUAUUAGACUCAUUAGAAAGGAGCCAAUACCACCAUUAGUGAAGGGCUGUUCUGUAUCUGUGGACAGUAUUUUUGCUUCCCCACUGGUCUGGAUACAUAUUCUGAAAUAGUAACCUAUGGUACAAUGGAUGUGGAUUGUGUGAUAUCUAGGUUGGAUAUAUA